rnacentral:rRNA from 1 species
CCAAGACUAUGAUGUGUAGCCGGGGUGAGAGGUUGAACGGCCACAUUGGGACUGAGACACGGCCCAAACUCCUACGGGAGGCAGCAGUAGGGAAUUUUCGGCAAUGGAGGAAACUCUGACCGAGCAACGCCGCGUGAACGAUGAAGUAUUUCGGUACGUAAAGUUCUUUUAUUAGGGAAGAAUAAAUGAUGGAAAAAUCAUUCUGACGGUACCUAAUGAAUAAGCCCCGGCUAACUAUGUGCCAGCAGCCGCGGUAAUACAUAGGGGGCAAGCGUUAUCCGGAAUUAUUGGGCGUAAAGGGUGCGUAGGCGGUUAAAUAAGUUUAUGGUCUAAGUGCAAUGCUUAACAUUGUGAUGCUAUAAAAACUGUUUAACUAGAGUAAGAUAGAGGCAAGUGGAAUUCCAUGUGUAGUGGUAAAAUGCGUAAAUAUAUGGAGGAACACCAGUAGCGAAGGCGGCUUGCUGGGUCUUUACUGACGCUGAGGCACGAAAGCGUGGGGAGCAAACAGGAUUAGAUACCCUGGUAGUCCACGCCGUAAACGAUGAGUACUAAAUGUUGGGUAAAACCAGUGUUGAAGUUAACACAUUAAGUACUCCGCCUGAGUAGUACGUACGCAAGUAUGAAACUUAAAGGAAUUGACGGGACUCCGCACAAGCGGUGGAUCAUGUUGUUUAAUUCGAAGGUACCCGAAAAACCUCACCAGGUCUUGACAUGCUUCUGCAAAGCUGUAGAAACACAGUGGAGGUUAUCAGUUGCACAGGUGGUGCAUGGUUGUCGUCAGCUCGUGUCGUGAGAUGUUGGGUUAAGUCCCGCAACGAGCGCAACCCUUAUUGUUAGUUGCCAGCACGUAAUGGUGGGGACUUUAGCAAGACUGCCAGUGAUAAAUUGGAGGAAGGUGGGGACGACGUCAAAUCAUCAUGCCCCUUAUGACCUGGGCUACAAACGUGAUACAAUGGCUGUUACAAAGGG